CACACCGAGGCAGCUGGGGAUUCAUUUGUCUUGCUGAUUAAUGAUGAGAACCAUAUCCUCCACAACACCAGUAAAUUAAAAGAGAUUGGGGACAGAGAGAAAGAACAUCAAGGUCCAUUCAUCCCAAUCAAAUUUCACACGUUUGGCAGCCUCCCAAAAGGCACGAGACAUCUGAAGUGACUGGCGUCCUGAGGAAAUGGAAGGGAGUCGUUAGAAGCACUUGGGUCACGUCCCUCUAAUUAAUGCUGCCUCCCUCUGCUGUUUCAAAAUCAACUGUAGUUUCCAUCUUUUUUUAAUUUUUUUUUUUCUUCUUUUUUUGCUCUCCGCUGCUUUCAUUUCCACUCUCUGUUUUACCUGCCACUGCCUUCAAAGUCACCAGAGCCUCAUCUCGGAUCAAAAGAUGAGGAGUUACACGGAGGAGUUGACAGUUUGAAAAUGUGCACCCCUGCAGGGGCAGCAGCAGGAAAGAGCAUUAGAUGGUCUGUGAGAAAGCUGUGAAUGAGAAGCUGCCCCUUCAGUUGUGUCUGAGGAAGUUCUUGAAGUGUGAAGGACAUCUCCGCUGCACUUCCUGUUAAACCCAGGGUCACUGAGUGAUGGGAACACAAAGUCAUAGUCAAGGAGCUCUGCCCUGGUUUGCCAGACUGCGAGAGAGCAAGUAGAGGCAAGUGUACAGGGAGGAGAGAGGGACUCACUAAUGCAAAGUAGUUCAUUAAAAUCAGGCACAAAGCAUCUAUCAGGGGGGAGGGAUGCUGCUAAUCAGUGCCUGUGGUUAGUCCAGCAAUAUGUAAAAAGGAGACGGUGCACUCCUCAGCUGUGAUCUUGUCUGGGGAGCAGCGGAGCUGGUUGAUGCUAAGGAGCCCGUGCAGAUGAUUGAUUUUUUCCAGAAGGAUGCUUUGAGACUCUGCGCUUGGACCGCCAUCUGAUUAACAUACACGGCAUUAUUCAUGUCAUGAAUAUACAAGGAGGCGAGGAACAAAUAAAUACUGACAUGCAUCCAGGAGCUGAUAAAUAUUAAAUGGAGCACACAUGGCUUCAGAUUUUACCAUUUCAUAAUUUGAACAUUCAUGCUGAGAGGCGCCCCAGCCAAGGUCUAAUCUUGGGUUUAAACAGGUUGAGCAGCCGCGUGAGGAGAUGAAAAGUUCUGCACCAACAUCGCACUUGUGCUUCAGUUGGGUGUCAUGAAUACUGGAGCUCUGCUUCCGGUUUAAUCAUUAGAAGUUUGCAGUUUGAUUCAGAGAGUUCAUACAGGACCUUAGAAUUAAAAGGAAGUCUCUCAUUUCUGAUAAAAAAGGACUUUUCGUCACACUUCAUACAGUGGUGUUAAUGCUUUCAUGGUGUUUUUCAUUCAAAGAGAAAAGAUCGCUAAGGGGUCGAAGGCAAUAGCCGGAAAAUAUGUACAUUAGCAUGUGACUUAGAGUUUGAUUAAAAGAAAACCUACGAGGAUAGUUAAUGUUCUGCUUUCAGAGAGGCGAGUCAAGUUUAUUCACACUUAACCAUUCAGACGCGAGGCAAUUCAAAGUGCUUUACAGGGGUGUAGAAUUACAUUUAAUAUAUA